rnacentral:rRNA from 1 species
GGGUUGUGAGGUUAAGCGACUAAGCGUACACGGUGGAUGCCCUGGCAGUCAGAGGCGAUGAAGGACGUGCUAAUCUGCGAAAAGCGUCGGUAAGGUGAUAUGAACCGUUAUAGCCGGCGAUGUCCGAAUGGGGAAACCCAGUGUGAUUCGUCACACUAUCGUUAACUGAAUACAUAGGUUAACGAGGCGAACCGGGGGAACUGAAACAUCUAAGUACCCCGAGGAAAAGAAAUCAACCGAGAUUCCCCCAGUAGCGGCGAGCGAACGGGGAGCAGCCCAGAGUCUGAAUCAGCUUGUGUGUUAGUGGAACGGUCUGGAAAGUCCGACGGUACAGGGUGAUAGUCCCGUACACCAAAAUGCACAGGUUGUGAACUCGAAGAGUAGGGCGGGACACGUGGUAUCCUGUCUGAAUAUGGGGGGACCAUCCUCCAAGGCUAAAUACUCCUGACUGACCGAUAGUGAACCAGUACCGUGAGGGAAAGGCGAAAAGAACCCCGGCGAGGGGAGUGAAAAAGAACCUGAAACCGUGUACGUACAAGCAGUGGGAGCACCUUCGGGUGUGACUGCGUACCUUUUGUAUAAUGGGUCAGCGACUUAUAUUCUGUAGCAAGGUUAACCGUAUAGGGGAGCCGCAGGGAAACCGAGUCUUAACUGGGCGUUAAGUUGCAGGGUAUAGACCCGAAACCCGGUGAUCUAGCCAUGGGCAGGUUGAAGGUUGGGUAACACUAACUGGAGGACCGAACCGACUAAUGUUGAAAAAUUAGCGGAUGACUUGUGGCUGGGGGUGAAAGGCCAAUCAAACCGGGAGAUAGCUGGUUCUCCCCGAAAGCUAUUUAGGUAGCGCCUCGUGAACUCAUCUUCGGGGGUAGAGCACUGUUUCGGCUAGGGGGUCAUCCCGACUUACCAACCCGAUGCAAACUACGAAUACCGAAGAAUGUUAUCACGGGAGACACACGGCGGGUGCUAACGUCCGUCGUGAAGAGGGAAACAACCCAGACCGCCAGCUAAGGUCCCAAAGUCAUGGUUAAGUGGGAAACGAUGUGGGAAGGCACAGACAGCCAGGAUGUUGGCUUAGAAGCAGCCAUCAUUUAAAGAAAGCGUAAUAGCUCACUGGUCGAGUCGGCCUGCGCGGAAGAUGUAACGGGGCUAAACCAUGCACCGAAGCUGCGGCAGCGACACUAUGUGUUGUUGGGUAGGGGAGCGUUCUGUAAGCCUGCGAAGGUGUGCUGUGAGGCAUGCUGGAGGUAUCAGAAGUGCGAAUGCUGACAUAAGUAACGAUAAAGCGGGUGAAAAGCCCGCUCGCCGGAAGACCAAGGGUUCCUGUCCAACGUUAAUCGGGGCAGGGUGAGUCGACCCCUAAGGCGAGGCCGAAAGGCGUAGUCGAUGGGAAACAGGUUAAUAUUCCUGUACUUGGUGUUACUGCGAAGGGGGGACGGAGAAGGCUAUGUUAGCCGGGCGACGGUUGUCCCGGUUUAAGCAUGUAGGCUGGUUGUCCAGGCAAAUCCGGAUAAUCAAGGCUGAGGUGUGAUGACGAGGCACUACGGUGCUGAAGUAACAAAUGCCCUGCUUCCAGGAAAAGCCUCUAAGCAUCAGGUAACAUUAAAUCGUACCCCAAACCGACACAGGUGGUCAGGUAGAGAAUACCAAGGCGCUUGAGAGAACUCGGGUGAAGGAACUAGGCAAAAUGGUGCCGUAACUUCGGGAGAAGGCACGCUGGUGUGUAGGUGAAGUCCCUGCGGAUGGAGCUGAGACCAGUCGAAGAUACCAGCUGGCUGCAACUGUUUAUUAAAAACACAGCACUGUGCAAACACGAAAGUGGACGUAUACGGUGUGACGCCUGCCCGGUGCCGGAAGGUUAAUUGAUGGGGUUAUCCGUAAGGAGAAGCUCUUGAUCGAAGCCCCGGUAAACGGCGGCCGUAACUAUAACGGUCCUAAGGUAGCGAAAUUCCUUGUCGGGUAAGUUCCGACCUGCACGAAUGGCGUAAUGAUGGCCAGGCUGUCUCCACCCGAGACUCAGUGAAAUUGAACUCGCUGUGAAGAUGCAGUGUACCCGCGGCAAGACGGAAAGACCCCGUGAACCUUUACUAUAGCUUGACACUGAACAUUGAGCCUUGAUGUGUAGGAUAGGUGGGAGGCUUUGAAGCGUGGACGCCAGUCUGCGUGGAGCCAACCUUGAAAUACCACCCUUUAAUGUUUGAUGUUCUAACGUUGGCCCCUUACCGGGGUUGCGGACAGUGUCUGGUGGGUAGUUUGACUGGGGCGGUCUCCUCCCAAAGCGUAACGGAGGAGCACGAAGGUUAGCUAAUCCUGGUCGGACAUCAGGAGGUUAGUGCAAUGGCAUAAGCUAGCUUGACUGCGAGCGUGACGGCGCGAGCAGGUGCGAAAGCAGGUCAUAGUGAUCCGGUGGUUCUGAAUGGAAGGGCCAUCGCUCAACGGAUAAAAGGUACUCCGGGGAUAACAGGCUGAUACCGCCCAAGAGUUCAUAUCGACGGCGGUGUUUGGCACCUCGAUGUCGGCUCAUCACAUCCUGGGGCUGAAGUAGGUCCCAAGGGUAUGGCUGUUCGCCAUUUAAAGUGGUACGCGAGCUGGGUUUAGAACGUCGUGAGACAGUUCGGUCCCUAUCUGCCGUGGGCGCUGGAGAAUUGAGGGGGGCUGCUCCUAGUACGAGAGGACCGGAGUGGACGCAUCACUGGUGUUCGGGUUGUCAUGCCAAUGGCACUGCCCGGUAGCUAAAUGCGGAAGAGAUAAGUGCUGAAAGCAUCUAAGCACGAAACUUGCCCCGAGAUGAGUUCUCCCUGAGACUUUAAGUCUCCUGAAGGAACGUUGAAGACGACGACGUUGAUAGGCCGGGUGUGUAAGCGCAGCGAUGCGUUGAGCUAACCGGUACUAAUGAACCGUGAGGCUUAACCUUACAACGCCGAAG